rnacentral:ncRNA from 2 species
CAGCAUGAUAGAGGCGCGGAGGACAUGAGUACGGCUGCUGUAAGCCCAGGGCAUGGGGAGCGGCCUGAAAGGGGAUUCCGCCGAGGCGGGGAGGCCUGUGCCCAGGCUCCUUUUGCCGGGCCCCGGGAGAAGAUCCCGGGGACUGUCGCCCCAUAUUCCGGGGCGGAGCGCUGUCUAUGAU